GGUCCCUCUCCGUCCUUGCUUCGGUAGAGCAGCUGAUUCGACGACAAGAUUUGGUACUAGUAUAGUUGAUCUGAUUCGACCUUCUCUGUCCCCCACCGUUGUCGCUCCAUUCCUCCGCUCCCCCACCCUCUCCUCCGCAUCUCCAGCCGACGUGGGGAGCGGCAUGCCUCCAAUGAGAUAUGUCGGGAGCUGCAGCCAUCCUUGGGGAGUAGCUGGACAACAACAAGGUCUGCAGGUCACCACCGUCUUCCAAGAAGAGCUUGGAGAAGCUAUCCCUUGGAUCAUCUACACUAGGUUGACAAGCUGCCGGCGGCUUCCCACACCGCCCCUCCUCCCAAGCUACACCCCAUCCUCGCAGACGAUAGAGGAGGCGCCGUGCAUACAGCAAAGCUAUGGUGGCGCGACUGGCCUGCUCGUUGACGAGCCGUGCAUCGAUUCGGCAGCGCCACAUGGCUCCGUCGAUCACACUGGUCUGCGUCGUGCACGUCGACGAGGGAGCUGCACGCAGCCGCGGGACACUGGUGACCAGGAGGUUGACAUGCUCAUCCUAGAGAUGCCACCUUUCCAGGGCUAGUCAGCGUCGGCUUCAAAGGGUUUCGCCAUUGCCGGCAACGGCAGCCUGGAGAGUCUCCAAAACGAGUAGCAGCACAUGAUCCGCAAGGUGAGCUACCAAUUUCAUGUUCGGUUAGAUCCGGUGUGGUUCGAUUCGUUGAUGUGGAAAAUGCCUGGACUCGCUUCGGUUUCGGUUGCAAGAGCUGCCGGUGCUGGUUGUGGCUCACCCUCUUGUCUAGCUACAUGUUGGAGUGGUGCAGGUAGUAUCCACUCAUUGCACCUGCAUAUUUUGUAUUUACUGUCGUUUGGUUCAAUGGAAAAUAUUAUGUGUUGUGUGA